UACAGAGGGGGCAAGCGUUAUUCGGAAUUAUUGGGCGUAAAGGGCGCGUAGGCGGCCUGGCAAGUGACGGGUGAAAGCCCUCGGCUUAACCGAGGAACUGCCUGUCAGACUGUUAGGCUUGAGACCGGGAGAGGUGAGUGGAAUUCCCAGUGUAGCGGUGAAAUGCGUAGAUAUCGGGAGGAACACCAGUGGCGAAGGCGACUUCCUGGCCUGUUCUUGACGCUGAGGCGCGAAAGCUAGGGUAGCAAACGGG
rnacentral:rRNA from 1 species